ACAAUUGCCAAAAGGAAAGAAGCUUUCAAAUGUUGCUCCCGCACACUCACUCCUACUAGCUACCGAAAUGGGACCAAGUCCCUUAUAUACAUGCUUUGGCCGCCCCUUAUGAUGGCCCUUGUGUGGCCAAGCUUUCAGCAUUUCAAAUUACAAUUAAAAUACUCAUGGGAUGGGAUCUGACGGACAAUAAGAGUCAGCUGCAUUUGACACCUCAAACCAGCCGUAGCUUUUGAAUUGGGCAAUGGUGGGAAUUCUUGGCGCCAUGUGUUUGGUCCCAUGGGCUGGCCAACCCCACAUGCCCACAUGGGCUGCUUCCUCACUCAUGCGCCCCACAUGGGCUUCACGCUGCAUGGCUUGGGCUCACCUUCCAUCCAUGCACGUAGCCCUUAGCUCCACUAACCAACUUUCAUGCGCCCCACCUUGCAAGUCCCCCAAAUGCUGCGCUCCACUUGGCCUUCACGUUGCAUGUUUGGUCUCACUUCACAUUGCAUGGUACCACUACUCACUCUUUAUGCAUGUUGCCUUGGCUCCACUUGCCAAUUCACAUGUGUCCCACCUUGCAAGAUGUCCCUAAAUGCUGCGCUACACUUGGGCCACUUUGGCUUCCACAU
rnacentral:misc_RNA from 1 species